UGGCACCUAUGCACCACUCCAUCUAUCUCCAUCUUAUCUUAAAACCACCUCAAAAUUGAUUUCUCUAAUUGUCUCACUCCUUAAUUUCCAAAUAAUUCCUUUCACUCUUUCUUUCAAAUCCUCCAUUCAAUCGAUAAAUCCCUAUUGACAUAUCACAAAUCCAUCCUUUCCAAAUCCCUAAUUUCAUAAAAUCCCAUCUCAAUUUGCACACAACCAUUCUUUCCCACACUCGAAUCCCUAACUCAAAAAUUUCAAAUUUCGUCCUCUACAUUGAUUCUUCCAUUACACAAAUCAGACCAAAGACUCUACAAAUCUUUGUGUACUCUACUCCAAAAAGGAAUGUUUAAAGGGAUAUGUAAGGUUUUGGGAACUACAACACAACAAAGGGACUUGCCCUUGAAUAUAAGUAUCCCACUUUCUUUAGGAGUUUUGAUUUUGAGUUUUUGGCAAAUUAUUGUUGUUGCUUGAUUUGGAAGAAGUUGGGACUUUUGAUUUUGGGUUGUUGGCUGAUGAUUAAUUGAGGCUUGAUUAGGGAAGAAAUAGGGGAUUUUUUUUUAAUUUUAAAUUGUAAUGUGUGAAAUUGUGAAGACUAAGUGUUUGUGAAAAAGCCUAGGAGAAGUGCUUAAUUUUAGUGGUAAGUUCCAAUUGUCAAAUUCGGACUACAUUGUAGUAGCAGGUUGGAUUUGGAAUAGUUUCUUUGGUUGUCUUGAUUGUGAAGUAAAAUUUGGUUGAAUAUAGUUUACAAUGCCUCCAAAGCGAGUGAUAAAGACGUCUUCCUCUUUGGCCUUUUUAGAUGGAAGCAAGUUCGUCAGUGCAGUGGCUAUAAAACAAUAUAAUAAUAUGGUAGUGCAUAGAAAUUAUAUUCAGAAAGGUAUUUUGAAGAUUAUACAAAGGAUAAAAUAGCAAAAAGGAGUUGGGGAUGUUUGCUAAACAACCACAUGCAGACUUGAUAUUAGUAGUAAGAGAAUUCUAUGCGAAUGCUGAGGAUCAUAGAGAGUUUAAAGCAUAUAUGAGAGGCAAGUGGAUUCCUUUUGACAAAACAUCCAUUAAUAGGUUCUACAACUUGCUGGUUAUUGAUAAUGAUAACUAUUCAAGGCCCGUGAAGAGGGAGUUCACCCCGAGGAGAUACUAUGAGUUUUGGCAAAAUGGGGACUACAUGGAAACAGUCGGACAUAGAUGUUAUUAACUUUCUAUCCUUGGGUAUAAUGCUGUAGUGUAAGGUUUGGCAUCAUUUCAUCUCUGCGAAACUCUUAUUCAGCAGCAAUUUGAGUGAAGUGACCAAGGAGUGGGCGACACUGAAUUAUACUAUUCAAUAUGGCUUGUUAGUCGAUAAUGGUUCAACUAUUGUUGGUUUAGGACACCUUGCUUUGGUCUAUGAAUUAUGUCAAGAGAAGGUGUUGUGAUACAUCCAUAUGAAGAUAUGGUGCAUCCCAAACCACCUCUCCCACGGACUAGAACACCAAAGUUUAGGAGUCUCCAAGAUUCCACUAGUGAACCAUCUUAUGCGACGAAGGAACUGCCAUCUUGAAGUGAUGUCGAGCUUCCCCAGUUAGUGAUUUUAGCAAUGACCUUGCUAAUCGGCUUGAAGCGAUGCAUCUGCAAAUAAACCAAAUUCAAAAUUGCGUGUACGAGCAGUUUACUUAGCAUUACUAAUUCAACAAUGCCUUGGCUUCCAUAUUCUGGGAUAGAAGAAUAGUGUUCCCUCAACCAUCGUGACUAUCUAAACCAUACAACAAACCUAGCUUCGCAACACCACGACACACAAAACAAUUAAUGUCUUUACUCGGAUAAGUCUCCUUUGUCUCUAAUUUAACAUUGGGGACAAUGUUUAGUUUUAGUUUGGGAAAUGACCUUAAUUGCUUAACUGCUAAAUUGAUUUUGUGUGAUUAUAAUUUUUUUCUCUCUCGUGUGAUUUGUAUGAAGUGUUUUUAUUGACUUGUGUAAAUCAUUUACAUAAAAAAAUUUAUUGCAUGUUUGAGAAUACGUAUUAGCUGGUGGAUUGUGAAUAAGUUAGGUGCAUUGGUUGAAUUUUUUGAUUAUCCACAUAGAACAUGACACUAUUCACGCACACGAAUAGAAGUAGCAGUGUAAUGGACUAAGUUGAUUCAUAUAUGUUAAAGGUUGAAUAGUGAACUUAGAUGCUCAAUCUCUUAACUUUUUAUUUAUUACAUCCUUGAACCUUUUAUAGCAUAAUUUAGGGAUAGUCAAGUUGGAGAAAGAAAUUAUUUAGAACUGUGUUGAUCUGUGCAUGUUGAAAAAAGUACUUAUGUGGAGUCUCUUUAACUAUCAAGUAUAAGCUAGGUAAUGAUUGAAUGCUAGGGAUCCAAGCCCCAUUUAUGUUUGCCUUGAAAAAAAAAAAGAAAACGGCAUCGUAGUUGUUGAUCAUGUGCUUUACUCCGUAGCCUUUUUUUCACUCAAGUUAGUAAAUCCGUUGGGGUAUCUCAAAACUAGGCACCCUUUGGCCUUUAAAGCUAAGGAGUUAUCGACUAAAAGCUCAUUACAGGGGUCAAGAAGAAAGCUUAAAAGGGUGGGUAGAUCUUGAACUAAAAACAAAAUUGAAAAUAAAAGAGCAAGUAACUAUGCAAAUAAGAUUGAAUUGUGAGGGCUUAGAUAACAAGUGAGUGUGAAUUGUUUAGUAUAAGCUUGAUGGUUGAAGCACUCAAAGUUUAGAAGAAUCAUCGCAUGGAUAGAUUGUUAAUGUUGUCAAUUAGAAUCAACCAAAUUUAAGUGGUGAAAGAAAGUAGUAAAUUGAAAAUGAACCUUAGAAUAUAUCCUGGGAAGAGAAUAAAAGAAAAUAAGUUUGGAUGUGUAAAUCUCAUGAGUGAAGAAAUGAUAUAUUUGACUAUUGAGGAUCAGGAAUUCAACCAAAUUGUGUGUACAACGUUGUACUUGAUUCUUCACACACACAUAUCCAUUUUGUAAUGGAUAAGUAGAAUUUGGCUUUUGCAUUAUGAUUUUGAAUCAAUUCAUAAAUUUGAUGUAGUGUUUCAAUCCUGAGCUAGAAAGGCCUGCUAUCUAACUAAACUUGUUUUAUACGAGUUGAUAGGUUUAGUUUUGUAUGUGUUUUUGCAUUAGAUCUUUUCUUUUGUUUUUGUGUUUGCUUGAGGACUAGCAAAAUAUAAAGUUUGGGGUGUUUGAUGAACGAGUAUCACUAAUACUUUGAGAUUUAGAAUGUUUUGAUGUGUGUUUUAGUGUUAUUUUUAGGUUAGGUGAAGUGGUGAAAAGGAGUUUGGAACAACUAAAGAAUGGUGUUUAUUCAUGAACCAUGGAAAAAAAAUAGUUGAAACCAUGCAAAGAAAGAAGCCAAAAAUGAACGAAAUUGAUCACGAAGGCCACUAGUACUAUCUUGGUGGCACUUAGUGGUAUCUAGUUGCCACUUAAAGCCAAUUGCUCUGUCUCGAACACCUAGGAGCCACUAGAGCUAAAAAUAGAUAAUAAUUGUAGAGAUGUAGCACCUAAACGCAUAUCGAAGCCCCUGGACGCCAACUAGUUGAAGGAAGUAGCGCCCAAGCACUAUUAUGCCACAAGAAUCGGGAUUUAUUUCGAUUUCUCAUUUGUUUAAAAUGCCAAUUCUACUAAAACUUGUCCAAAACUUGAAUAAGGCAUAAAUACAACUUGUGAGGCACUUUUUAACUACACUUUUUGACGAAGCAAAAGUAAGAGAUCAAGCAAAGGAGCGAAAUCAACAAUAAGAAGAAGAUUGAAUCAAACUCCAGUAGACAGAUUUUAUCUCAUUUCUUCUUCUUUAUGUUUUUAGUCAUGAAUUUGAGAUUUUAUUGUUCUUCCGUCAUGAACUAAAUCUCUCAUCUAGGGUUUGAUGUAAUCGAUGUUUUGAUUUUUUAUAUUUAUUUCUUUG
rnacentral:lncRNA from 1 species